rnacentral:rRNA from 1 species
UACAUGAGUAAUUAGUAUUAUUCGUAUAAAUUGGGUUUAAAUAUAUUUAGUUAUUAUACUUUACUAAAUUAAUUUUUAUACUGUAUAAUUUAUUAAUUCUUUAAUGGAAAAGUUUAAUUUAUUUUUAAUAGCGAUAAAAUGUUAAUAUUAAAACAAAAUUUAUUAGUUUGAAAAAAAAAUUUUACUUAAAGAUUUAACUAAAUAUGAAAGUAUAAUUAUCGAAGAGGAUUAGAGACCCUUGUAGUUUAUACCGUCAAAUAUGAUAAGCAUAAAAAAAGUGACUUAUUAACCUGGGGAGUACUAUUGCAAAAUAUAAACUUAAAGAAAUUGGCGGGAUUUUAUACAAAUGGUGGAAUAUGUGGUUUAAUGCGAUAAUCCUCGCAAAAUCUUACUAGUACAUUAAUUAUUAAAGUAUAUUAUUAUUUAUUUUUAACAAUUAAUAGGUAUUGCAUGGCUGUCGUCAGUUCGUGCUCUAAGGUGUAGGAUUAAUUUCUUUUAAACGAACGAAACUCUAAAUUUUUAGAAUAAAGUCAAGUCUUUAUGGUCUGUAUAUACUAGGCUACACACGUAUUACAUUUAAAAAUAAUUAUUAUUAGUUUUUAACAACUAAAGAAUAUAAAAAAAUUAAUAAAUGAAGUAUUUUUUGUUAUUCAAAAAUAUGAAAUAGGAAUCAUUAGUAAUCAUAAAAUAGUAUGUUAUGGUGAAUUGUUAUUAAAAUUUGCACACACCGCCCAUCACGCUCAGAGAAUUUUAUUGAAUUAAGUAUGGUUUUUUUAUAAAUUUAUAUAGUAAAAAAAUUUGCGAUAUUUAUUAAGAUAAUUAGAGUGAAG